rnacentral:rRNA from 1 species
AUGGCGCUUAUCAAGAAGAACACAAAUGCCCUGUGCUUGGUAAUUCUUCUGAUGUCUACCACUUUGUUGGCAUGCGAGGCGACCGGGAGAAACAAAGGUACAACUGCAUUGAUUGAUGUGUGCAAACGUGAUCGGUUAUGCGAGAAUCCGAUAGGAUACAAUGUUACCUUGUGUAAGGUUUCAUGCGAAUGGUCUGGCUACAGUUUCUACAACAGCUAUUGUGAGGAGGGUAAAUGCUGUUGCGCAUCCUAA